GGCUGGGUGGCCGAGCGGUCUAUGUCGGCAGGUUCAAGGUUCUUCCUUAUUCUUCCAAAGGAGAAUUGCAUUCUGUUCUCGCAAGAGGCGCGAGUUCGAAUCUCGCUCCAGUCG